GUGUCAGAAUAUUUCUGUCUGUCCAUCCAGAGGCUUCCUUCUCGCCUGCGGUCAGAGGCAUCAAAACUAAAGAUAUCAAACUUUAGCCAGCCCUCGGGAAAGGAUGAGAUGAGCUUACUGGUUUUUCCUACACACCUGAGCACCACGGGCACAAACUGGAAUCCAGACUCCAGGUGAAAAUCCAUCAUUUCAACCCUGUUGCCUGCUCAAUUGACCAUCACGCAUGUUUACACCGUCUCUACACCCGUGCGUCUCAUCACCCACUGCGAGGAGCUCAGCCACCAUCCCCAGUCCACCCCAGCCUCUGAGCUAGGCCCCCCCAUAGAGGUAUGCACUCAGCCUUGUCAUAGCUCUAGGCAGUGCAUGUUCUUGUUGUGGGUUGA